GACAGAGGUGCCGAGCGUUAGGCGGAAUCACUGGGCUUAAAGCGUGUGUAGGCGGGCGGGCAAGUACCUUGUGAAAUCCCACGGCUCAACCGUGGAACUGCUGGGUAUACUGCUCGUCUUGAGCCAAUCAGGGGUGAGCGGAACAGACGGUGGAGCGGUGAAAUGCGUAGAUAUCGUCUGGAACGCCGAAGGUGAAAACAGCUCGCUGGGAUUGUGCUGACGCUGAGACACGAAAGCCAGGGGAGCGAACGGG
rnacentral:rRNA from 1 species